GAAACACUCAACAACUCUAACAAUGCGUGAGGUUAUCUCCAUCCACAUCGGCCAGGCCGGUAUCCAGACCGGUAACGCGUGCUGGGAGCUCUACUGCCUCGAGCACGGCAUCCAGCCUGAGUGAGUCAAGCACGGGUUUUUUUCCUUUUUUGAAAUCAUUUCGCCGGCUCCAGAUCGGCGCGGAGAUGCGCGCCGUGAUGAUCGCGCGACCCUUCGCAUGCACCGCGAUGCGACCCAAACGCUUACGUUUCGCCUCUAUUUUCAAUUUAACAGCGGCCAGAUGCCCUCCGACAAGACCAUCGGUGGCGGCGACGACGCUUUCAACACCUUCUUCUCCGAGACUGGUGCUGGCAAGCACGUCCCCCGUGCUGUCUUCCUCGAUCUCGAGCCCACCGUGAUCGACGAGGUCCGCACCGGCACCUACCGCCAGCUCUUCCACCCCGAGCAGCUCAUCUCCGGCAAGGAGGACGCCGCGAACAACUUCGCCCGUGGUCACUACACCAUCGGCAAGGAGAUCGUCGACCUCUGCCUCGACCGCAUCCGCAAGCUCGCGGACAACUGCACCGGUCUCCAGGGCUUCAUGGUCUUCAACGCCGUCGGCGGUGGUACCGGCUCCGGUCUCGGCUCCCUCCUCCUCGAGCGCCUCUCCGUCGACUAUGGCAAGAAGUCCAAGCUCGGCUUCAC
rnacentral:lncRNA from 1 species